rnacentral:rRNA from 1 species
ACGGGGGGUGCGAGCGUUGUUCGGAAUUAUUGGGCGUAAAGAGCGUGUAGGCGGCUGAAUAAGUCAGAUGUGAAAUCCCUGGGCUUAACCCAGGACGUGCAUUUGAAACUAUUCGGCUAGAGUAGGGGAGAGGAAAGUGGAAUUCCUGGUGGGCGAUUUUCAGGCCCAAGACUGAGGAGGAGCCGCGAUGGUGUGGGUAGCAAACUGGAUUAUUUCUCAUUCUAGGCCGCCAGAUUGUCUAUAACAUACAU